UAAUACGGAGGGUCCAAGCGUUAAUCGGAAUUACUGGGCGUAAAGCGCGCGUAGGCGGUUUAAUAAGUUGUAUGUGAAAGCCCUGGGCUCAACCUAGGAACUGCAUACAAAACUAUUAAGCUUGAGGACGAGAGAGGAGAGUAGAAUUUCAGGUGUAGCGGUGAAAUGCGUAGAUAUCUGAAGGAAUACCAAUGGCGAAGGCAGCUCUCUGGCUCGUUUCUGACGCUAAGGUGCGAAAGCGUGGGUAGCAAACAGGAUUAGAUACCCUGGUAGUCCACGCCGUAAACGAUGAUAACUAGCCGUUGGGCAGAUUUAACUGUUCAGUGGCACAGCUAACGCAUUAAGUUAUCCGCCUGGGGAGUACGGCCGCAAGGCUA
rnacentral:rRNA from 1 species